rnacentral:rRNA from 1 species
AACGAACGCUGGCGGCGCGCCUAACACAUGCAAGUCGAACGAGAAUCCGGGGCAACCCGGUAGUAAAGUGGCAAACGGGUGAGGAAUACAUGGGUAACCUACCCUUGAGAAGGGAAUAACCCGCCGAAAGGUGAGCUAAUACCCUAUACGCUAUCUUUUUUUCGAAAAGGAUAGGAAAGCCGGGUCGAGGACCUGGUACUCAAGGAGGGGCUCAUGUCCUAUCAGCUUGUUGGUGGGGUAACGGCCUACCAAGGCUACGACGGGUAGCUGGUCGUGAGAGGAUGAUCAGCCACACUGGCACUGAGAUACGGGCCGAGACUCCUACGGGAGGGCAGCAGUGAGGAAUAUUGCGCAAUGGGC